CAAUAGCGUAUAUUUAAGUUGUUGCAGUUAAAAAGCUCGUAGUUGGAUUUCGGGUGGGACGCAGCGGUCUCGCAUUGCGUUUGUACUGCUGCAGCCCUCCUUCUUGCCGGGGGCGGCCUCUCGGACUUCACUGUCUGGGGGUCAGAAUCGGCGAUGUUACUUUGAGUAAAUUAGAGUGUUCAAAGCAAGCUUACGCUCUGAAUAUAAUAGCAUGGGAUAACACGACAGGACUCUGGCCUAUCGUGUUGGUCUAUAGGACCAGAGUAAUGAUUAAGAGGGACAGUCGGGGGCAUUCGUAUUCCGUUGUCAGAGGUGAAAUUCUUGAAUUUACGGAAGACGAACAUCUGCGAAAGCAUUUGCCAAGGAUGUUUUCAUUGA
rnacentral:rRNA from 1 species